UCUCUUUCUCCUUCUCUCUCGCACUCUCAAGUGAAUAAAUAAAAAUAUUUUUUAAAAUAUUCUUUUUAAAGUAUAGUAGCUUAAUUUAAUAACCAUAUAGUGUCUGACAGUGUUAUUUUAGCAAGUACUUUACCUGGACUGUUUUUGUAAUCCUCAUAAAAAUUCAGUGAGGUGUAGAUAUUUUUAUGUGUUAAGUGGAGAUAACUGAGAUUUAGAGAGGUUUUAACUUGCCUGAUGGACAGCUAGUAAGCGUUAGACCCCAGUUCACAAAAGCACAUACUUGGAACCAUUCUACCGUACUAUAAUUUUGAAAGAAGCAUGGUUAUAAAAUAAAACAUCUAUAUGUAACAUAUAACAUAUAUAGGGUUGUUUACAUAAUU